rnacentral:rRNA from 1 species
CCUACGGGGGGCAGCAGUGGGGAAUAUUGCACAAUGGGGGGAACCCUGAUGCAGCAAUGCCGCGUGGGUGAAGAAGCACUUCGGAGCGUAAAGUCCUGUUAUCAGGGACGAAAAUGACAGUACCUGAACAAGAAGCUCCGGCUAACUACGUGCCAGCAGCCGCGGUAAUACGUAGGGGGCAAGCGUUAUCCGGAUUUACUGGGUGUAAAGGGAGCGCAGGCGGCGCGGCAAGUCAGAUGUGAAAACUCGGGGCUCAACCUCCGGACUGCAUUUGAAACUGCUGUGCUUGAGUG